GGACUACCAGGGUAUCUAAUCCCGUUUGCUCCCCUGGCUUUCGCGCCUCAGCGUCAGAAGAGGUCCAGCAUGCCGCCUUCGCCACCGGAGUUCCUAUUGAUAUCAACGCAUUUCACCGCUCCACCAAUAGUUCCGCAUGCCCCUACCUCCCUCGAGACACCCAGUAUCCACGGCAAUUCGACAGUUGAGCUGCCGGAUUUCACCACAGACUUGAAUGCCCGCCUACGCGCCCUUUAAGCCCAGUGAUUCCGAACAACGUUCGCUCGGUUCGUCUUACCGCGGCGGCUGGCAC
rnacentral:rRNA from 3 species